GGCGGCCUGACACGACACAUGUGACUUCAGCGCGCUGACACACCUGCUCCAGAGGCACCAUGACGGUCACCACACAUCUGUUGGCCGCUGUGAUGCCACUUGUCCUGCUAGGUACAGUGGCUUCUGGAAGCCUGCCUGACGACCUACAAUGGGAAGUUCACCCUCCAUACGUGGCUGUAGGGGAGAAGGUGGUCAUCAGCUACUCCUUGUACACCGCCACCCCGCCCUUCUCCCUAACCGUCUCCGUCGACCAUCAUCAGACAGAGGCGCUAGCCU